UGGCUAGUGAUGUUCUUCUUGCGAUUACACACAACUUACUACAAAACUGAUCUUAUUUGAAUCAGGGACUUAGGUCCCCCGUGUGAACUUUAUAUAUACCUGAAGCUA
rnacentral:snoRNA from 1 species